rnacentral:rRNA from 1 species
UGAACGCUGGCGGCGUGCUUAACACAUGCAAGUCGAACGCUGAAGCUCCCAGCUUGCUGGGGGUGGAUGAGUGGCGAACGGGUGAGUAUCACGUGAGUAACCUGCCCUUGACUCUGGGAUAAGCCCGGGAAACUGGGUCUAAUACUGGAUAGGACUGGCCAUCGCAUGGUGGUUGGUUGAAAGCUUUUGCGGUUUUGGAUGGACUCGCGGCCUAUCAGCUUGUUGGUGGGGUAAUGGCCUACCAAGGCUUUGACGGGUAGCCGGCCUGAGAGGGUGACCGGCCACACUGGGACUGAGACACGGCCCAGACUCCUACGGGAGGCAGCAGUGGGGGAUAUUGCACAAUGGGCGCAAGCCUGAAUGCAGCGACGCCGCGUGAGGGAUGACGGCCUUCGGGUUGUAAACCUCUUUCAGUUGGGAAGAAGCCUUUCGGGGUGACGGUACCUUCAGAAGAAGCACCGGCUAACUACGUGCCAGCCGCAGC